UCAUUUGCUUUCAUUCGGAAU
rnacentral:piRNA from 1 species